CAGGCGUCUGGGGUAGGAGUCGCUGCCAUCAGCCCCACUGAUGAUGAGUCUAGGCAGCAGUGACUCCGAGACGAAACGCAUC
rnacentral:hammerhead_ribozyme from 17 species